rnacentral:rRNA from 1 species
GACAGAGGGUGCUAGCGUUGUUCGGAAUUACUGGGCGUAAAGGGCGCGUAGGCGGUCUGUUAAGUUCGGCGUGAAAUCCCCUGGCUCAACUGGGGAACUGCGCUGGAAACUGGCAGACUCGAGUACCGGAGAGGAGAGUGGAAUUCCUGGUGUAGCGGUGAAAUGCGUAGAUAUCGGGAGGAACACCAGUGGCGAAGGCGACUUCCUGGCCUGUUCUUGACGCUGAGGCGCGAAAGCUAGGGGAGCAAACGGG